rnacentral:rRNA from 1 species
CGAAAUGCGAUACUUGGUGUGAAUUGCAGAAUCCCGUGAACCAUCGAGUCUUUGAACGCAAGUUGCGCCUGAAGCCAUUAGGCUGAAGGCACGUCUGCCUGGGCGUCACGC